ACGCGCCGAACCUUACCAAGUCUUGACAUAUUUCGGAGGGAAUUAGAGAUAAUUCCUUACGACUUCGGUCGACUGAAAUACAGGUGGUGCAUGGUUGUCGUCAGCUCGUGUCGUGAGAUGUUGGGUUAAGUCCCCAUAACGAGCGCAACCCCCUAUCGUUAGUUACCAUCAUUAAGUUGGGGACUCUAGCGAUACUGCCGGUGAUAAACCGGAGGAAGGUGGGGACGACGUCAAAUCAUCAUGCCCUUUA
rnacentral:rRNA from 1 species